rnacentral:lncRNA from 1 species
GGGAACUUCUGAGAGCGCUUCAAAUAACGUUGCUUAAAAGCAAUGCCUCAGUUUUAAGACCCGGCGCCUUAGGAACGGAGAUGGAUGGCACAUUUCAUCUCUUUCUUCGAGCCUCCGGUUUUCCGGGAGAGGUUUUGAAGUGGCCUCAUUUGUAAUCUGACCUCUCUUCAUGUCAUAUUUGCGUCAUCAGCUCUGGGGGCCAUGCUAGGAUGCUGACAAGUAUUUCUGGCUUUAAAAUAUGACUCUUUGGCAACCCAAAGAAGAAAAAAAAAAAAAGACAAAUACCCCACUGACUUUGGAGUGUUUCUGCAUAAAAUGGAGAGGGCUCAUGGCACAAUGCAACUGCAACCAAGAGUGUCCCAGGACACCGCUCUGCUUUAUUACCAGUGGUUAUUGCAAGACCAGUAGGGGGACUGGUUGGCUGGAGAUGCCUAUGGCAAAAGGAAUGUGGACACAGUGCUGGGGUAGAGCAGGGGCAAUCAAAGCUCUGAGAAAAUGCAUUUUUGCUGUUUUCCUAUCAGCUGGGGCUACGUCAGAAACCAUCAGCAGCACCUGGUGUUAGAUCCGGUGCUCGUGCAAAGAGAAAAGAGGUGCAUCUUCACGAACUCAGUGGAGCUACGUAGAUUUCUGCAAUCGUAACAUCUGAAAAAGAGAAAAAGAAAUGGGCUUAUGUAGACUUAGAAGUAAUCUCUAUUAAUCCCCCAAUUCUUCAAGACGGUCUUCAAGAGUUUUGGGUUUUACGUGCAUGUCAGCAUCUACAAGGUUGAAACCAAAGGAUGUUCCAGCCAGCCCCGAAAUGAAAAACCUAAAUAUGAAAUAUUAAAAACAGAUCGGCUCUAGAGAAGAACUUUGACAUCGCCACAAAUCUGAAGAAGAAAGGGAAAACUCUGGCACUGAAAUUCAGGAUGACAUCACUUUCUGAGAACCUGAUGCCAAAACAGUGCUAUCUCUGGGAGAGCUUCAGUGAAAGCUUUUGUCAUCUUUGCCAGCACCGAGCAGAUCCCCGCACCCGCAGCGGGAGCCGCCGAGCCCGGAGCAGAGCGGCCCGGAGCACCGCCGGUACCGACUUGGGCCAGAGAGCCGAGCUCAGCGACGGGAAAAGGGGAAGAAUAUAGAAAACAACCAUAACAAAAUGAAAGAAAGUUCGUGGGCCUUUCGGCAGGGACAGCUUAAGGACAGACAAGUCAGAACAUUCAACCUCCAAGUCGCUUGAAAUGUGGGGAGAAUAAUCCGAAAAAUAUAUUAAAAGCCCGCUUCGUUCGUUUCCUUCCCCUUCCCUUUCCACUUUUCUCCCCCUUUCUUCAUUCCUUCUCUCCAUUCCUCUUUUUCUUUUUCCUUCCCUCUCUCCUUUCUCUCUUUUUCUUUGUUCCUUUCCUUUCUUUCCCUGCUUUCUCUUUCGCUAUUCUUAUUCUUUUUAAAGAAGAAAAUACGUUGACAACGACCCGUUUUCACCCACUGAUAUUCGCAAUAACUCGUCCCCGAGACGGCCGAUGUUUUAACUCGCAGCAGGUUGCUGGAGUUGGAUGGAAACGGUAAAAGGUCGUAUAUAUAUAUAUAUGUAUGCAUAUAUAUAUUAAAAAGAAAUAGAAUAAAGAGAAGGACUAAUAAGUGGGAAAUGGAUUGCAAAUGUGAAAAAUAUUAGAAAGUCCAAUACCACGAAGAAGGAGAAAGAUAUCGACUGGGGAUUUUAUAUCCAGAACAGAUGAGUCAGGAUUUCUUAAACGAAACCACC